UCUGUGCCGCGGUGGGAGCGCUGCAGAUGCUGAGCCACCAGGCCUUGCAAACGUCGGGCUCCAAAUUAGUCGCGGGUCUAAAAACCGCCUUGCCCCUAACCCUCGGAGCACCGCCCGCCCUGCCGCCUCUCUGCACCGGCUGUUUCCAGCCGGCCUCCAUGAACACCGCUACUCUCUCCUGACCGCUCCACAGCCAGAGGACACGUGGGACGCCCCUCACAGAUACUGCCAAUGUGCUGACUGCCGGCACCAGAGGACAGUGCUGCCCCGACCCCGUUCGGGCCCCACGAGGGCCAAGGAGACGGAGUUCAUUAGCAGAACAGAUGUGGCUUGUCUCCACCAUUCGGAUAAAGAUCACAAAAUACCCACAGCAACGAGGACAUUCUGAACCUGGGCUGCAGCAACAACAUCUGACUUGGGCCCAAAGAAAAUUGCAUUUUUUUCUGUCAAGUUCAAUUAAUAAACAUUUAUUCAGA